ensembl:rRNA 5S_rRNA 5S ribosomal RNA
GCCUACGGCCAUACCACCCUGAAAGCGCCCGAUCUCGUCUGAUCUCGGAAGCUAAGCAGGGACGGGCUUUGUUAGUACCUGGAUGGGAGAUCGCCUGGGAAUACCAGGUGUUGUAGGCU